UCUCUGGCUCCCAUCUAUCUGCUUUGGUCGGUCUUCAUCCUCUUUCCCGCAAGCCGCCGCCCCUCCGUCCCAGCCUCGCCAUGCUGCUUCCCCAUGCUACUGCUCAUGCACUGCUUCUGCUGCUCCGCUUCGCUGUGCCACUUCCUCAUGCUGUGCUGCACGCUCCUACCGUUGCUCCCCUACCCAAGCACGCAUGGCUGCGGCUAAGGAAUUGAUGGCAGCUGGCGUGCUCGCGCCGGCAGGUCAGCUGUGGCGGGCGGCGUGCCCGCUCUAGCCGUGGAAGGUGCAGCUGGCCUCAGUCGUCGGCAAGCCUUUAACCUCCAGCAGGCAUGGGGAAGGGGGAGGAGCUGCGGGGAGCUAGUUUCUUUCUCCCGCUUGAAGAGUAUCUUGAGCCCUAAGUAAGUUUAUUGAAUUAAUGAUACAAGCUUAAGUAUCUAAUGAACUUUCAAAUGCAGGUUUAAAAUGAUUGGUGGACAUAUAGCACUUGUGGAUGACUCUCGAAAAGAAAAUGAAUGAAUAUGAGGCAUACCUUGAAGGCUAAAUUUAUUUUUUUUGAAUUUGAGUAUAGAAAUGCCGCACUAUUAAGAGGGAUACAUAAUAUUUGGUCUUUACAUUGAAAAAGGUGCUCAAGAUGACCUAAUCAA